GAUGAACGCUGGCGGCGUGCUUAACACAUGCAAGUCGAACGAACCUUCGGGUUAGUGGCGGACGGGUGAGUAACGCGUGAGAAUCUGCCCUCAGGAGGGGGACAACAGCUGGAAACGGCUGCUAAUACCCCAUAUGCCGCGAGGUGAAAUGAAUUUCGCCUGAGGAUGAGCUCGCGUCUGAUUAGCUAGUUGGUGUAGGUAAUGGCUCACCAAGGCAUCGAUCAGUAGCUGGUCUGAGAGGAUGAUCAGCCACACUGGGACUGAGACACGGCCCAGACUCCUACGGGAGGCAGCAGUGGGGAAUUUUCCGCAAUGGGCGAAAGCCUGACGGAGCAACGCCGCGUGAGGGAUGAAGGCCUCUGGGCUGUAAACCUCUUUUAUCAAGGAAGAAGAUCUGACGGUACUUGAUGAAUAAGCCACGGCUAAUUCCGUGCCAGCAGCCGCCGCGGU
rnacentral:rRNA from 1 species